CGACAUUAUUUUGAUUGGUCUCCGAGAGUAUCAGGAUAACAAAGCAGACGUAAUUUUAAAAUACAAUGCAGAUGAAGCUAGAAGUCUGAAGGCAUAUGGCGAGCUUCCUGAACAUGCUAAAAUCAAUGAAACCGAUACAUUUGGUCCUGGAGAUGAUGAUGAAAUCCAGUUUGAUGAUAUUGGAGAUGAUGAUGAAGACAUUGAUGAUAUCUAAAUUGAAUUCAGUUUUCAUUUUCUGAAGACAUUAACUGGGAAUUUUGACCAUCAACUUAAGAAGAAUAGAACUUUAUUUACCAUGAGUAUUGUUUAUUAAAACAAAUUGUCUUAAUUCCGUUUUUUUUUAAUGUAUUUACUAUACUAUAUUUCUUUAAAAAUUGAUGUUGAACCAUCUUAGGUGACAUAUUAAUUCUUUAUUUUUUAUAUAAUGAGACUUAGAAAUAAAACAUUUUUAAAAAAGAGAAAGAAAUGCCUUUUCAACCAUUGACAGUCACAGUUGCAAGAAAUUGAUGUUUAAUCAGAAUUGAAAAUCAAAAUUGAAAGUCAUAGAUUUGUCUGGAAUAGUAUUUAACUAAUUUCUAUAGUCUAUGGACUUGUUCUGUAUCUUUCAGAAAUAUAUUUAUGGUCUCUAUAACAUUUAAGAAUGAUCAAAAUAUACUUUGGAAUGGUGUCAGCUUAAGUAUUUUAUACUGAGUUUGUUACCUUUUAUAUUUUGUAACUAUUUGUUUUCAUCCUUGUAAGUCCAUUUGUAAAAUGCAGUUUUCAAAAUAAGGAUGUAUGUUACAGUUUUGAAUUUAUAAGACUUGUGGCUCCAGAAAUAGUAUAUUGAAACUGGAAGAAGUAGCAUAGUAAUUGAUGCCAUUUUCUUUAGCAUGCAUGGAAAAAUUGUCAAGAUGGUAAGGUACAUCAAGUAUUUUUUACUCUAUGAAAAGUAUGUUAAAAGGUGAAAUUUUAUUUAUAACAGUCAUCCAUUGUAAUCCAGUUUUAAGCUUCAUAAACAGAUGAAUUCAGUAUUUAAGUGGAAAACUAACUUCUUAGUAAAUUUUUUAAACCAAAAAAUUGUAAAUCUUUUCCUGAACUUGGAGUAUGGUAUUCUUCCUGUGUACACAAAACUUCCUGUCAUUUUCAAUGUAAUGGGACAUCUGUCUUCACAAGAAGACUGGAACCUCAUUUUCCAAGAACACAAUGGAGCUUUAUUAUCUCAGAAUGCAGUAAGGCAUCACUUUUCCCAGAGGGCAAGGGAACUGCCCAACCCCAGAAGGCAGGGUGUGAUGACAGAAUUGUUAAUAAGGUGAGGGACUCCAUGGUUGGAAACAUGCAGAAGUAAAGGAGACAAGGAGAGAGGAGAAAAUAGUUGAGGAUUGCAGGUGCUGAGAAGAAAGGAUUUGAAAUGAUAAUAUACUGCUAUAGAAUUCACCUGUAUUCCAUUCCCAAACCACCCAAAGCUAAAAGGUGAGCUUGAGAUGGACAUUUCCUUAUUGCUUCAAAAAGCAAUGAAAAACAUGUAAGUUUCAUUUUUAUGCAUUGUUUUUGCACUGAGUACUGUAUAUCAGAGAAAACAUAUUUGUCUUUUAGGAACUGCCUUAUUUCAUUACGCAACAUGAUCUCAAGUCACAUCCAUUUUGUUAAAAAGACAGGCUUUCAUUCCUUUUUAUGCAUGAGUAGUAUUCCAUAGUGUAUAUUUAACAGAAUUUUAAAAUUCAGCAUGAGUUGAUGGAUAAGUUGAUUGAUUCUAUAUGUGAGGUAUCAUAAAUUGAGCUGUCAUACUCAUAGUAGUGCAAAUAUCUUUCAUUCAUGGAUAUUUUUCUAUCAUCUGUGUACCAUUUAUCCGUUUGCUGCAGGAAGUUUUCUCCCAUGAUAUACAAAAAAAGAUCACGUGUUCACAGUUCAAACAGUCUUCAGAACAUACCGGUUCUCAUUUGGAAUAUUUGGAAGAUGCAUGGUUACAAGUUGUCAUAGGCAUUUUCUCUGAGAAAAACUUUAUAAACAGUUUUCUCUCAUGUUAUUUUACUGUUUAAAGUUUUCUGCCAUUGAUUGGCAAACAAAUAUGAUUCAGCCAUGUGGUUUGUGUGUCUCCCAGGUGGUUGCAGCAAGUGCACAAGGUCCUGUAGUGUCCCCAGGAACUUGCUAUGGUUGCAGCUUGAGCAGCUUAAUGAAUGGAUGGGUGAGCAGGAAACUUCCCUGAGAGCCUCUCUUGGGAUUGUAACACUAUUCUGAAUUGAAAUACCCAGCAGAAUGGCAGUGUACUUCACAACAUUAAUAAGAAAUGAAAUGAAAAAUAUAAAUUUAUGGUGCCAGUGCUAUGGCAUAGUGGGUAAAGCCGCCGCUGCAGUGCCGGCAUCCCAUAUGGGUGCUGGUUCUAGUCCCAGCUGCUCUUCUUCUGAUCCAGCUCUCUGCUGUGGCCUGGGAAAGCAGUAGAAGAUGGCCCAAGUCCUUGGGCCCCUGCACCCGCAUGGGAGACCCGGAGGAAUCUCCUGGCUCGUGGCUCAGCUGUGGCUGUUGUGGCCAUCUAGGGAGUGAACCAGCGGAUGGAAGACCUCUCUCUCUGUCUCUACCUCUCUCUGUAACUGUCUCAAGUUUGAUUGCUCAUGGCUGCCUCUGUGCCACUUUCUGACUUCUGUAUGUCUGUCUGAGGUUUCAUUGGCCUUACCCCCGUCUGUUAGUCUGUGGGUUCAACUGAUUCUACCUUCUCUCUGUUUCAGGUUUUAUUGCCCAUGGCUGCAUCUGUGUUACUGCCUCUCAGAGCUGUUUUCUCUCCUUUAGAUUUGUUCUGACUUGUCUGUCUCAGGUUCGAGUGGCUAUGUGUGUAUGGGUUUGAUUAAUUCUAGCUUUCUGUGUCUAAGUUUUGAUUGACCAUGCCUGCCUGUGACUGACUGUGGGUUUGGUUGUAGUACUCUGUCAGGUUUCUUUCUUUUUUUUUUUUUUAAUUUAUAGAUUUUAUUUAUUUGAGAAGCAGAGUUAGAGAGAGAGACAGAGAACCAUUUGUUCACUCCCCAGAUGGUCACAACAGCCGGUGCUGUGCUGCUCUGAAGUCAGGAGCCAGCAGCAGCAUAGGCAAGGGCCAGGGUACAUUCCACUCUGGUAUUUUGCAAGCCUGGACACUCAGUAUGUCAGAACAGUAAAGAAAGAAUUUCUUUAGGAACUGGUGCAUUCAUCUGUGUGCCUGUCAGAUUCUGUAGGAGGAGAGAAUUUUAUUGGGUUUGCCAAAAGAAUAAUGAGGUUGGGAUGGAACACUUUGUUCUCCAUUCCUGUGUGUUCUCUGGAAAAAAAUAGGGAUGUGUUGUACAUGAGACAAUGUAUGACAAAAAACUUAAGUUCCCAGUGUUGCCCAUUGACUUAUCAGUCCUGCAUGGAUUGAUUUUGCAGUGUGCACUUUGUACUAUACAUUUCCUCUACCCACAGGUAUCAGGAAAGAGAAAAGGCACUCAAUAUAGGAUGAAAAGACACAAAUGGCCCUUGACUUCAUUCAUGUAAACAGUUUUAUCCAUUAUUAAAGCAUAUCUCUCAACCUA